AUUGAACGCUGGCGGCAGGCUUAACACAUGCAAGUCGAGCGGGGAAGAGUAGCUUGCUACUUAACCUAGCGGCGGACGGGUGAGUAAUGCUUAGGAAUCUGCCUAUUAGUGGGGGACAACAUCUCGAAAGGGAUGCUAAUACCGCAUACGUCCUACGGGAGAAAGCAGGGGACCUUCGGGCCUUGCGCUAAUAGAUGAGCCUAAGUCGGAUCAGCUAGUUGGUGGGGUAAAGGCCUACCAAGGCGACGAUCUGUAGCGGGUCUGAGAGGAUGAUCCGCCACACUGGGACUGGGACACGGCCCAGACUCCUACGGGAGGCAGCAGUGGGGAAUAUUGGACAAUGGGGGGAACCCUGAUCCAGCCAUGCCGCGUGUGUGAAGAAGGCCUUUUGGUUGUAAAGCACUUUAAGCGAGGAGGAGGCUACCGAGAUUAAUACUCUUGGAUAGUGGACGUUACUCGCAGAAUAAGCACCGGCUAACUCUGUGCCAGCCGCCGCCGUAAUAC
rnacentral:rRNA from 1 species